AUGGAAAUUUGGAACUUCGGAGAACCAAGCUGCAAGUGUGAACGAUGUGGUGCAAUUUUCUGGUACGAAGAAAGAACUUCAGGUAGAGCGAGAAGGAUGCCAUCUUUCGGACUAUGUUGCCAACAGGGCAAGGUCGAUUUGCCACCAUUCAGAGAGCCGCCGGCUUACCUUACGAAAUUGUUAAGGAAAGACAACGGAAAGAGGUCAAAAAACUACAUGCAAAAUAUCAGAUUGUACAACUUCAUGUUUGCUUUCACGACAAUGGGAGGAAAGGUAGACACAGAAAUAAACAAUGGUGGUGGUCCUUAUGUUUUUAGAAUGAAUGGGCAAACUACCACAGAAUAG
rnacentral:rRNA from 1 species